AGUGAACGCUGGCGGUAGGCCUAACACAUGCAAGUCGAACGGCAGCACAGUAAGAGCUUGCUCUUACGGGUGGCGAGUGGCGGACGGGUGAGGAAUACAUCGGAAUCUACUUUUUCGUGGGGGAUAACGUAGGGAAGCUUACGCUAAUACCGCAUACGACCUACGGGUGAAAGCAGGGGAUCUUCGGACCUUGCGCGAUUGAAUGAGCCGAUGUCGGAUUAGCUAGUUUGCGGGGUAAAGGCCCACCAAGGCGACGAUCCGUAGCUGGUCUGAGAGGAUGAUCAGCCACACUGUAACUGAGACACGGUCCAGACUCCUACGGGAGGCAGCAGUGGGGAAUAUUGGACAAUGGGCGCAAGCCUGAUCCAGCGAUACCGCGUGGGUGAAGAAGGCCUUCGGGUUGUAAAGCCCUUUUGUUGGGAAAGAAAAGCAGCAGGUUAAUACCCCGCUGUUCUGACGGUACCCAAAGAAUAAGCACCGGCUAACUUCGUG
rnacentral:rRNA from 1 species